rnacentral:piRNA from 1 species
UUGAAAUUGGUGGCCUUGUGUGAGACUC